UCCUGAGACCUUAUGGGCUCGGUUGGUUGGACCGACGAAUUCCGAGACCCUCAGACAAUGGUUCCGGACCCACGUCCCGUACUUUCUUACACCUCGGCCUCCGGCCUCCAAGACUCCUCACAUCAUAGCGAAGCGGCCCUCCCCACGAUUGAAGAACUUCGGUGAAAGCAGCUACCCUCCUGGCAGGCCAACUCCUUGAAGACAGUAACAAUUUCUUCUCCAACAACGAAGCCUAUCCGGGCCCUGGAGGCACUCCUGCCUUCCUAUCCCCUGCCUUCCCAUCCCGAGUUCUGCUCUAUGGAAUGGCAACUAAUAGCUGAAUAGUUAUAGCUUGUUUGUUUUUGAAAGAUUAAGGGAAGCUAAAGGAAUUCAUCCUCUAUGGCUGAUGGCCAUGGCCGACAGCUGCUGGUCCAAAUUUCCCCUACAGGAGUAUUUUGUUUGACUCACUAUCUGGGAUUGUUGAAAGUUCCUGGUGGCCUUGCAGUUAGGACCUGGCGUUAUCUCUGCUGUGGCUCAGGUUCUAUCCCUGGCCUGGGAACUUCUACAUGCCAAGGGUGCAGCAAAAAAAAAAAA